rnacentral:rRNA from 1 species
UACGAAGGGUGCAAGCGUUACUCGGAAUUACUGGGCGUAAAGCGUGAGUAGGUGGUUUCUUAAGUCUGCUGUGAAAGCCCCGGGCUCAACCUGGGAAUUGCAGUGGAUACUGGGAAGCUAGAGUGCGGUAGAGGGUAGUGGAAUUCCCGGUGUAGCGGUGAAAUUCGUAGAUAUUGGGAAGAACACCGGUGGCGAAGGCGGCUCACUGGCUCAUUACUGACGCUCAUGCGCGACAGCGUGGGGAUCAAACAGG